UGAGCUACUGAGAUUAGGGCUCAUGUGCCUCCAGCCUCCUCUUCGUAAUGUAACGUUGGUAUCUCAUCAAAAGGUUAAAGCCUAUGCAACGCAAAACCCUAGCGGUUGCGUAAGCUUGGAUCCACCAUAGGGGCUUACAAGUACGUCUCUGAGCUAUGGAGGAAGAAGCAAUCGGAUGUGAUGAGGAUUUUGCAGAGGGUUAGAUGCUGGGAGUACAGGUAGCUCCCAUCGAUCAUCCGGGUCACCUGACCCACGCGCCCUGUCAAGGCUCGGAGAUUGGGUUUCAAGGCAAAACAGGCUUUAUGGUGUUGCACGUGGACUUACCUAGUAAAACUAUGACCACAUCCACCCUUGAUAUUUGGAAGAAGGUAAAACUUUCUCUCGUGUCUGUUGCAAAUUAGCAAUUCAACUUCCAAAACUACUUUGUGUGAGAUUCCAAAAAUUGUGAAUGAUUUUAUGCUUUCAGCGUGUCUUAUUAUUCCAGUUCAAGUGAGGCAUCUUUUUCUUUCCCCGCCUCAACUCUUCACCUUCUCAUUUUUCUUGUGAUCCAACAUGGCCUCCUUG